UACGGAGGGGGCUAGCGUUGUUCGGAAUUACUGGGCGUAAAGCGCGCGUAGGCGGACCUGCAAGUCGGGGGUGAAAGCCCGAGGCUCAACCUCGGAACUGCCUUCGAUACUGCGGGUCUCGAGUCCGGGAGAGGUGAGUGGAAUUCCUAGUGUAGAGGUGAAAUUCGUAGAUAUUAGGAGGAACACCGGUGGCGAAGGCGGAUCUCUGGGCCAUUACUGACGCUGAGGAGCGAAAGCGUGGGGAGCGAACAGG
rnacentral:rRNA from 1 species